GAAAUCUGGCGGUCUAAGGCCGUCCGAGUUGUAAUCUAGAGAGGUGUUUUCUGUGCCGGACCGUGUACAAGUCCCUUGGAACAGGGCGUCAUAGAGGGUGAGAAUCCCGUCCAUGACACGGACUACCGGUGCUCUGUGAUACACCUUCAAAGAGUCGAGUUGUUUGGGAAUGCAGCUCAAAACGGGUGGUAAAUUCCAUCUAAAGCUAAAUACAGGCGAGAGACCGAUAGCGAACAAGUACCGUGAGGGAAAGAUGAAAAGAACUUUGGAAAGAGAGUUAAACAGUACGUGAAAUUGUUGAAAGGGAAACGCUUGAAGUCAGUCGCGUCCGCCGGGACUCAGCCUUGCUUCUGCUUGGUGCACUUCUCGGUGGAUGGGCCAGCAUCGAUUUUGGCCGCCGGAAAAGGGCGGGAGGAAUGUGGCAGCUUUUUGCUGUGUUAUAGCCUCCCGUCGUACACGGUGGCCGGGAUCGAGGAAUGCAGCACGCCUUUGGUCGGGGUUCGCCCACGCCACGUGCUUAGGAUGCUGGCGUAAUGGCUUUAAACGACCCGUCUUGAAACACGGACCAAGGAGUCUAACAUGCCUGCGAGUGUUUGGGUGCAAAACCCAGGCGCGUAAUGAAAGUGAAAAGUUGGGACUCUUCAGUGAGGCACCGACGCCCGACCCUGAAGUCUUCUGACGGGUUUGAGGCAGAGCAUGUAUGUUGGGACCCGAAAGAUGGUGAACUAUGCCUGAAUAGGGUGAAGCCAGAGGAAACUCUGGUGGAGGCUCGUAGCGAUUCUGACGUGCAAAUCGAUCGUCAAAUUUGGGUAUAGGGGCGAAAGACUAAUCGAACCAUCUAGUAGCUGGUUCCUGCCGAAGUUUCCCUCAGGAUAGCAGAAACUCGCAUCAGUUUUAUGUGGUAAAGCGAAUGAUUAGAGGCCUUGGGGUUGAAACAACCUUAACCUAUUCUCAAACUUUAAAUAUGUAAGAUCGGACCGUCACUUGAUUGGACCGUCUGGCGAAUGAGAGUUUCUAGUGGGCCAUUUUUGGUAAGCAGAACUGGCGAUGCGGGAUGAACCGAU
rnacentral:rRNA from 1 species